CUUUUUGUGAUGUAGAACCCGAAGUCGCAAAGAAAAACAAGUAAUAACAAACGGUAUAUCACGAAUGUGGGCUCUUAGAAAUUUGUGUGCUUGACGAUUCCCUCUGCCUGCUCUCGGGCCUGCUCUUCGUGCAAAACGAAGUCGCAAAGAAAAACAAGUAAUAAAAAACGGUAUAUCACGAAUGUGGGCUCUUAGAAAUUUGUGUGCUUGACGAUUCUCUCUGCCUGCUUUCGGGCAGAGCUCGUUGUCGUCUUUUUGCGAUCUAGAACUUAGUCCAGUUGAUCGGCUUUCAAUUGUUUUUCGGUUUUUGACUGAGGCGGAAGUGUGCUUAUUAGCUCUGUCUUUUUUCGGGAAAAAAAAGUAUUGGCUUUCAAUUGUUUUUCGGUUCUUGACUGAGGCGGAAGUGUGCUGAUUAGCUCUGUCUUUUUUCGGGAAAAAAAGUAUUGCGAAAAUGUAACGACGCGUAUGUGCUGUACAUAUAUAUUUUUUGUGAAAUUGAUUAAUUAAAUACUAGGAGAAUUUCAUAUUUAAUGUCAAUUAAAACUUGUUUUGCACGUUCAGUAAGAGCGUGCAACGACUGUUUUGAAUUGCAUUGCUAAUCCUACAUAAAAGCAAAGGAGCUCAUUCUUCGUUAUUCAGUUGCCAACCGGCAGCCAAAAAGCCUGCCGGAAUUUAAGAAAAUCUGCCCGAACGACUGCGAGAGGACCAUUGUUCACACCACAUUGUGAACAUACGUGCAGGGAUUGCAGGCCCGGCACAUAACCCCAAUAAGAAGACAUCAUCAUCGUGGUGAGCAGCCCGCUCACUACGUCAUCGAGGGAGUGUCAGCGUGCCAACACUGGCGACGCCCAGCUGACACAGGAUAACGUGGUGUGCAGCCCGCCCACUACGUCAACGCGGGAAUAGUAUUCACACUGUGGUGCGCUAUCCGCACACAACAACAACGGUGGAUCAAUGAUCUCCAACAGCAACAACAACAACUGACAAGAGAGAACAGUCAGCGCUUCAAAGAGCGCAAAUUUUUUUAAUAGCACUGUGUGCAAAAUAUUUUCUGAUUGCACUGCAAUGCAUAUUUUUUUUAAUAAUUAUAAAAACCAAUUGUAACAUUGAGCGGAACCUUUUCUGCCCGAUGAGAAGUUCGGCCUGUAAAGCCAAACGAAAAUUUAGGUAGGAAACCUGUAAAUUCAUACGGAUGAAUUAAUUUUAAAUUUCUCACCGCCGCAAGGCGUCUUUACAACAACAAAUAGAUAUUUUAAAAUUAAAAAAAAAACGAAUCAAAGACAAAAUUAAUAUUUAAACAAUAAGUAAAUGUCAUUUAACAACUCUAUAAGUAAAUUAUAUCCAGACCCAAUAUAUUCAGAAAAAACUGUAUCAGGAGAAAACUUCUUUUCAAAUAUGGGUCUAGUUGAUGUUAAGUCAGUGUUAAAUAACAAGGUCGAAGUUGUGCCUUUAAACCUCGAUUACAUAAUAAUUUGUUUAAUUAUUAUGACAAUAAUUAUGUUUAUAAAUAUAUGUUAUAAACUAUACAAAAUGCAUAGUAACAGGGACAGGGUUUGAUAGCUGAAAGACAAUAAAUAAAUCGAAAAACAAAACAAAAAAAAUUUAGCCUUAGUAAGCAAGCAUAAAACUGCCUUGUCAAAAGCUUCAAAAAGAAAACAAGAAACAAGCUUAGUUAUGAACAUAUAAAUAAAUAUGAAAACAGAAUAUAAAAUAUAAUUAAAUAAAUCUUUUGAUUAACACCCCAGUUUCUAACUUGAUGGAUUGGCUAAAUAUAAUAGCUAAAAUCAAGAAACUGCGUGAAGACUUUGAUAGAUCGUUUAAGUGCCUCAAUAAGAGUGCACUAAUAAGUAACGAUACAAAGAUAAAACAGUUAGAGAGACUAUUAGGAAAAUAAAACGAGGCCCGUGUCAUAAUAAUUGACCACAAUACGAAACUAUCUUCGUUACAGCAGACACAAAUAAAAGAUAUAAUAUCUCGAUUAAAAGAGAACAUAUUAUAUGUGUCACAAAGACACAAGUUACAAGUACUUGUUCCGAAUUCACUAAAUUUCUCAGCUGAUUACUAGACGUAAUUGCUGAGGAAAGAAAUAGUAAGCCAAAAGAAAGUAAGAUAGUAAACAAGAUGGCACAAUCAGAAGUAGAUUUCCUAAAGACAACCUCGUCUCUAUUAAUCGAGUACGACGGCAAAGCCGAAAACCUACAGAGUUUCAAAGACGCUCUAUACUUGUUAGAUUCGAUAAAAGGAGAACAUGAGACUUUAGCAGUCAAUGUCAUUAAGACCAAACUAAAAGUUCAUGCUAGGAAUCUCAUUAGCACAGAAAACACAAUACAGGAAAUUAAAGAUAAUCUCUCGCGAACAGUAAAGGGAGAAUCUGUUGAGGCACUCUCUGCUAAAUUGCUAAAUCUGCAGCAAAAGAAGAAAACAGACUACCUCUACACGCAAGCAAUGACGAGAAAUUGAUAAGGUAAAAGUUAUCAUGCAAUCGGCACGUUCAACAGCAUGAACGAUGCCAUAUCUAAAUUUAAAGAUAUUUGCACAGAGGCAACUAGACAUUCCAACGGUGUUCCGCGGUCGUUAUAAUACAAGGGGCCGCCCUUAUUACAGAGGCGGUCAUCGUUAUUACAAUUCCAAUAAUAAUAAUAAUAGAAGAAACUCUAGAGGCCGCGGCAACUCGAACCCAGGCCAAAAUAUCAAUAAUCAAGGAAAUGUAAGAGUAGCCCAAAAUAACUCGGGAAACUCCGAACAAACUUUAGCUGCUCAAAAUAAAUAGUUACAAGGUUCACACAAUUAAUCUUAUCCAAAACAUAUUUGUUAGUUUUGUCAAUGUAGAAACAAAUAAGAAACUUAUCUUUUUAAUAGACACAGGUGCAGAUAUUACUCUUCUAAAAAAAAUUCUGAUAUCUUUAAUGAUAUUCAAGGAAACAAUAAAACUAAUAUUCAAGGAAUAGGACAAUAAUGAAUUUAAUCCAAAGGAUUAACUUCAAUUGAGAUACAGACAGACAAUUACAUAAUUCCACACGAUUUUCAUAUAGUAGAUACACAUUUCUUAAUCCCAUGUGAUAGAAUAUUAGGCAUUGAUUUCAUAAAGACAUUCAAUUGUGAAUUAGAUUUUAAUCAAACAGAAAAUUGGCUCAAAAUAAGACCAAAUAAUUUGAAUUUCCCAAUAUAUGUUCCAAUAAUAUACAGCUCUGGUAAUAACUCAAUAAUUCUACCAGCAAGAUCCCAGGUUGUCCGAAAAAUACAACUAUCCUCAAAUGAAGAUAGUGUUUUAAUACCUAACCAGGAAAUUCAAAAUGGCAUUUAUGUUGCAAACACAGUUGCAACAACCAAAAAUGCAUUUGUCCGAUUACUGAAUACAAAUAGUAAAGAUCAAAUAGUAAAAAUAAAAGAUCUACAAUAUGAAUCACUUUCGAACUAUGACAUAGUUCAAACCAAUUCUGAAGCGAGAGAAAGAACUGUCAUGUCUCAAUUAACAAAAAAUUUUCCACCGCAAUUCAAAUCUACACUAACAGAUUUAUGCACCAAGUAUAGCGAUGUAUUCUGACUUAAAACCGAAUCAAUCGAAACAAAUAAUUUCUACAAACAAAAGCUAAGAUUGACAGAUGAUGAGCCAGUAUAUAUUAAAAAUUAUAGAAAUCCUCAUAGUCAACUUGACGAAAUUCAAGUACAGGUAGAAAAAUUAAUUGAUAACAAAAUGGUCGAACCGUCUGUGUCCCCAUAUAACAGCCCACUCUUGUUAGUUCCAAAGAACUGACAAGAAAAAAUGGUGAUUAGUAAUUGACUAUCGUCAAAUUAAUAAAAAAUUGUUGUCCGAUAAAUUUCCACUCCCUAGAAUUGAUGAUAAUUUAGAUCAACUAGGUAGAGCAAAAUAUUUUUCAUGCCUAGACUUAAUGUCAGGUUUUCAACAAAUUAAACUCGAAAGUUCAAGAGAUGUAACGUCUUUUUCUACGAGCUAUGGCUCAUAUCGCUUCACGCGAUUACCAUUCGGUUUAAAAAUAGCACCAAAUUCUUUUCAGAGAAUGAUGACUAUAGCUUUCUCUGGACUUGAACCGUCUCAAGCAUUCCUGUAUAUGGAUGAUUUAAUAGUUAUUGGUUGUUACGAAAAACAUAUGGUUAAAAACUUGACUGAUGUUUUUGAGAAAUGUAGGAAAUACAACCCAAAGCUACAUCCAGAAAAAUGUUCAUUUUUCAUGCAUGAAGUCACAUUUUUGGGCCACAAAUGCACAGAUCAAGGAAUCUUGCCAGAUGACAAAAAAUAUGACGUCAUCAAAAAUUAUCCAGUCCCACAUGAUGCGGACGAUUUAUUGCAUUUUGCAAUUACUAUAGACGUUUUAUCCAAAAUUUUACCAAACAUUCUCGUCACAUAACAAGAUUAUGUAAAAAAGAUGUAAAAUUUGAAUGGACAGCUGAAUGCCAGCAUGUCUUCGAACAUCUCAAAUCGGCACUAGUUAAUCCCAAUUUAAUACAAUACCCAAAUUUCAGCAAAGAAUUUUGCAUUAUAACGGAUGCAAGUAAGCAAACUUGUGGAGCAGUGUUAACUCAAUGCAAAAAUGGUCUCCAACUUCCAGUGGCAUAUGCAUCAAGAGCGUUUACCAAGGGUGAAAGUAACAAAAGCACAACAGAACAAGAAUUGGCAGCAAUUCAUUGGGCAAUAACUCAUUUCAGACCAUAUAUUUAUGGUAGACAUUUCACUGUCAAAACAGACCACAGACCACUUACAUACCUGUUCUCUAUGAAAAAUCCGAUCUCUAAACUAACUCGUAUGAGACUUGAAAUAGAGGAGUAUAAUUUUACAAAUGAGUAUCUAAAGGGAAAAGAUAACUAUGUAGCUGAUGCGUUAUCAAGAAUAACCAUCAAAGAACUACAAGAAAUGACAAGAAAUAUAAAGAAAGUCACUACAAGAUAUCAAAGUAUACAAAAAUCCUGCGCAGGAGAUAAAGACUUAGAAUUGCCUAAGCAAUCUAUAGAAAAAGCUUCAAAGCCCAACGUAUAUGAAGUCAUCAAAAAUGACGAAUUACGUAAAGUAGUCACCUUGCAUAUAAAAAAUAUGCUAUGUUUCUUUAAACAUGGUAAGAAAAUUAUUGCAAGAUAUGAUGUUAGCGAUUUAUAUACUAAUGGAAUAUUUGACUUAGGUCACUUUUUCCAAAGGUUUGAAAUGCAAGCCGGUAUAAAUGAAAUCAGCCAACUCAAAGUGGCACCGUGGGAAUAUAUCUUUGAACAUGUUUCAAUUGAUAAUUUUAAAAUAAUAAAUUCAUUGAGAGUAGCGCUACUCAACCCGGUGACCCUAAUAGAAAAAUUAAAAGAAAAAGAAGCUAUAUUGUCUACAUUUCAUGACGAUCCAAUACAAGGAGGUUACACAAGCAUCACAAAAACUUUGGCCAAGGUCAAAAGAUACUAUUACUGGAAAGCUAUGUCUAAAGAUAUAACUGAGUACAUUAGAAAAUGUAAGAAAUGCCAAAAAUCAAAAGUGACAAGAAAUACAAUAACUCCUUUAACAAUAACAGAAACCCCAAUAAUAACCCCGACAGGGUGAUAGUGGACACUAUUGGUCCGCUACCAAAAUCAGGAAAUGGCAAUGAAUAUGCAAUCACACUAAUAUGCGAUUUAACUAAAUAUCUAGUUACCAUACCAGUUGCAAAGAAAAGUGCAAAUACUGUCGCUAAAACAAUUUAUGAAUCUUUUAUUUUAAAGUAAGGUCCAAUGAAGACGUUCAUUACGGAAAUGGGAACAGAAUAUAAGAAUUCAGUUAUAAAUGACUUGUGCAAAUAUCUUAAAAUAAAAAAUAUAACAUCAACUGCACACCAUCACCAGGCAGUUGGAACAGUCGAAAGAA